rfam:Aedes aegypti strain Liverpool supercont1.370 genomic scaffold, whole genome shotgun sequence.
CUUCCCUUGGUGUAGGGGUAACGCGCCCUAUCUAAUGAACAGGGAGUCGUGAGUUUGAUUCUCACUGAGAAGA